AUUAGAUUCCAUUAAAGGUAGUAGCUAUAUAGCCAAACCCAUAUAAACUGGCGGUCUCAUAAUAUUAGAGGAACUCGCUUUAUAAUCGUAAACACCCGUUAAAUUAAACCAUUACUUUUUUUAAAAUUCCAAAGCCUAUAUACCGCCGUUUCAGAAUAAAUCAAUUAAAAAUACUCAAAAUAGAACCCUCUAAAAAAUCAGGUCAAGGUGUAGCCUACGUAAUGAGUAAAAGUAAGUUACAUUAAAAACAAUUUAAGAAUAAAGUAUAAAUCAGCAAUUGAAAAAGAAUCUAAUUUUAUAAGCUAGUUAAAAUCUAACUUAGAAUUUUACAUUGAGACGC
rnacentral:rRNA from 1 species